rnacentral:tRNA from 1 species
GGAGUUGUGGCUCAGCGGUAGAGCACUCGCCUAGCAUGUGUGAGGCCCUGGGUUCAAUCCUCAGCACUACA